GUCUCUAGAUGUUUCUGUUUAAAUCGUCGUAGCCCUAGUCUAGAGCGCCGGCUUUGGGGUCAGGCCCGGGUUCGAGUCCCAGCCUUCGCCGCUGCGUCGAGUGACUUAACCUCUCCUAGCUUCAGUCACCUGCAGAUUGAGAGUCUACUACUUUUUACUGCUCAGAACUUCCUAUUCCUUAGCUGCAAAAUAGGCAGAAAU
rnacentral:lncRNA from 1 species